rnacentral:rRNA from 1 species
GACGAACGCUGGCGGCGUGCUUAACACAUGCAAGUCGAGCGGUAAGGCCCUUUCGGGGGUACACGAGCGGCGAACGGGUGAGUAACACGUGGGUGACCUGCCCUUAGCUCUGGGAUAAGCCUGGGAAACUGGGUCUAAUACCGGAUAUGACUCCAUGACGCAUGUUGUGGGGUGGAAAGCCUUGUGCGGCUAGGGAUGGGCCCGCGGCCUAUCAGCUUGUUGGUGGGGUGAUGGCCUACCAAGGCGACGACGGGUAGCCGGCCUGAGAGGGCGACCGGCCACACUUGGGACUGAGACACGGCCCAGACUCCUACGGGAGGCAGCAGUGGGGAAUCUUGCGCAAUGGGCGAAAGCCUGACGCAGCGACGCCGCGUGGGGAUGACGG